UACGUAGGGUGCGAGCGUUAAUCGGAAUUACUGGGCGUAAAGCGUGCGCAGGCGGUUUUUGUAAGUCAGAUGUGAAAUCCCCGGGCUUAACCUGGGAACUGCGUUUGAAACUACAAGGCUAGAGUGUGGCAGAGGGGGGUGGAAUUCCGCGUGUAGCAGUGAAAUGCGUAGAGAUGCGGAGGAACACCGAUGGCGAAGGCAGCCCCCUGGGCUGACACUGACGCUCAGGCACGAAAGCGUGGGGAGCAAACAGG
rnacentral:rRNA from 1 species